UGGUUCAGUGGUUAGAGCGUCAGCCUGUGAGGACUGAAGGGUCCCGGGUUCAAUUCCCGG
rfam:Myotis davidii contig791, whole genome shotgun sequence.